rnacentral:rRNA from 1 species
GUGGGGAAUAUUGGACAAUGGGCGAAAGCCUGAUCCAGCCAUGCCGCGUGUGUGAAGAAGGUCUUCGGAUUGUAAAGCACUUUAAGUUGGGAGGAAGGGUAGUAACCUAAUACGUUGCUACUUUGACGUUACCGACAGAAUAAGCACCGGCUAACUUCGUGCCAGCAGCCGCGGUAAUACGAAGGGUGCAAGCGUUAAUCGGAAUUACUGGGCGUAAAGCGCGCGUAGGUGGUUCAGUAAGUUGGAAGUGAAAUCCCCGGGCUCAACCUGGGAACUGCUUUCAACACUUCUGAGCUAGAGUACGGUAGCGGGUGGUGGAAUUUCCUGUGUAGCGGUGAAAUGCUUAGAUAUAGGAAGGAACCCCAGUGGCGAAGGCGACCACCUGGACUGAUACUGACACUGAGGUGCGAAAGCGUGGGGAGCAAACAGGAUUAGAUACCCGUGUAGUCC